rnacentral:misc_RNA from 1 species
GAAAUGCGAUAAGUAAUGUGAAUUGCAGAAUUCAGUGAAUCAUCGAAUCUUUGAACGCACAUUGCGCCCGUCAGCAUUCUGGCGGGCAUGCCUGUUCGAGCGUCAUUUCAACCCUCAGGACCCCCCUUUCGCGGGGAGGGACCUGGCGUUGGGGAUCGGCCCGCCCCCCGUGGCGGCGCCGUCCCCGAAAUCUAGUGGCGGUCUCGCUGUAGCCUCCCCUGCGUAGUAGUUACAACCUCGCAUCGGAGCGCGGCGCGGCCACGCCGUAAAACCCCCGACUUUCUGAACGUUGACCUCGGAUCAGGUAGGAAUACCCGCUGAACUUAAGC